rnacentral:rRNA from 1 species
UCGGGAAUAUUGCGCAAUGGAGGAAACUCUGACGCAGUGACGCCGCGUAUAGGAAGAAGGUUUUCGGAUUGUAAACUAUUGUCGUUAGGGAAGAAAAAAGACAGUACCUAAGGAGGAAGCUCCGGCUAACUACGUGCCAGCAGCCGCGGUAAUACGUAGGGAGCGAGCGUUAUCCGGAUUUAUUGGGUGUAAAGGGUGCGUAGACGGGUAUGCAAGUUGGUUGUGAAAUCCCUCGGCUUAACUGAGGAACUGCAACCAAACUGUAUAUCUUGAGUACAGGAGAGGUAAGUGGAAUUCCUAGUGUAGCGGUGAAAUGCGUAGAUAUUAGGAGGAACACCAGUGGCGAAGGCGACUUACUGGACUGAAACUGACGUUGAGGCACGAAAGUGUGGGGAGCAAACAGGAUUAGAUACCC